rnacentral:rRNA from 1 species
GUUGAUCCUGGCUCAGGAUGAACGCUGGCGGCGUGCCUAACACAUGCAAGUCGAACGAAGCCCUCGGGCUUAGUGGCGGACGGGUGAGUAACGCGUGAGAAUCUACCUCCGAGAUGGGGACAACCGUUGGAAACGACGGCUAAUCCCCAAUAAGCCGAAAGGUGAAAGGGUUUCCGCUCGCAGAGGAGCUCGCGUCCGAUUAGUUAGUUGGUGGGGUAAGAGCCUACCAAGGCAGCGAUCGGUAGCUGGUCUGAGAGGAUGAGCAGCCACACUGGGACUGAGACACGGCCCAGACUCCUACGGGAGGCAGCAGUGGGGAAUUUUCCGCAAUGGGCGCAAGCCUGACGGAGCAACGCCGCGUGUGGGAAGAAGGCUCUUGGGCUGUCAACCACUUUUCUCAGGGAAGAAGUCCUGACGGUACCUGAGGAAUCAGCCUCGGCUAACUCCGUGCCAGCAGCCGCGGUAAUACGGAGGAGGCAAGCGUUAUCCGGAAUUAUUGGGCGUAAAGCGUCCGCAGGGGGCACUUCAAGUCUGCUGUCAAAGGUCGGAGCUUAACUCCGGUUCGGCAGUGGAAACUGGAGCGCUAGAGGGCGACAGGGGUAGAGGGAAUUCCCAGUGUAGCGGUGAAAUGCGUAGAGAUUGGGAAGAACACCGGUGGCGAAAGCGCUCUACUGGGUCGCACCUGACCCUCAGGGACGAAAGCUAAGGUAGCGAAAGGGAUUAGAUACCCCUGUAGUCUUAGCCGUAAACGAUGGAUACUAGGCGUGGUUUGUAUCGACCCAAGCCGUGCCGAAGCUAACGCGUUAAGUAUCCCGCCUGGGGAGUACGCACGCAAGUGUGAAACUCAAAGGAAUUGACGGGGGCCCGCACAAGCGGUGGAGGAUGUGGUUUACUUCGAUGCAACGCG